ACUCCUACGGGAGGCAGCAGUGAGGAAUAUUGGACAAUGGGCGAGAGCCUGAUCCAGCCAUGCCGCGUGCAGGAAGACUGCCCUAUGGGUUGUAAACUGCUUUUAUACGGGAAGAAACACCCCCUCGUGAGGGGGCUUGACGGUACCGUACGAAUAAGGAUCGGCUAACUCCGUGCCAGCAGCCGCGGUAAUACGGAGGAUCCAAGCGUUAUCCGGAAUCAUUGGGUUUAAAGGGUCCGUAGGCGGGCGUCUAAGUCAGUGGUGAAAUUCUGCAGCUCAACUGUAGAACUGCCAUUGAUACUGGUCGUCUUGAAUCGUUGUGAAGUGGCUAGAAUAUGUAGUGUAGCGGUGAAAUGCUUAGAUAUUACAUAGAAUACCGAUUGCGAAGGCAGGUCACUAACAACGUAUUGACGCUGAUGGACGAAAGCGUGGGGAGCGAACGGGAUUAGAUACCCUGGUAGUC
rnacentral:rRNA from 1 species